GCCAGCCCUAAUUUCUUAAUCCAAACCUAAUCACACACAAAUACACAAUCACGCUGCCUACAAUAGAUUUGGUCAUCUGCUGUGCUGCUUGCCGACAACAAAUUGCUGCUCUUCGUCUUCGUCUUCGUCUUCGUCCUCAUCCCCGAUCUCUAGCUUGCUGGCUAUUCCCAUUUCCUUUUGUUUCGCAACUUAAUGGUUGUUGCCGGUAGCCUGCUACCUUCUUCAACUCCGAGCUAUAGCUAAUGCCUUCUUAAUUUAGAUUUUCUUCAAGUUCGAGUUGCUGCUACUGUAUUCUUUUGUGAGAGGUAAGCUGAUGGGUUCUUUCAUUUGUACACUAGGGUUUGGGGUUCUCUGAUCAGAAUAUAUCGGCUGGUCUGGUGAUUGCUCAACCGCCGUCGAUUUUUGAGGUGCCGCCCAGGUUGAGCCCCGCAAUUCUACUUGACUCGCUAAAUUUCAGUUUGUUUUCGCCUACACAGGUAAUUCAAUUUAACUUUGUCUGACCUAAAGUUUCUUCAUUUAUUCAUUAGAUUUUAGCUUGUUUAGGAAAGCUUUCAUUUUUAUUGGGUUUCGCAUUUAAAUUCUAAUAAUCCUUGGGUUUGAAUUUUGAUUUUUUUUUUUUUGGAGGGAUGGAAAAUUUUCUUCAUUGCCUUGAUUUGUUAGCAGUCGGUUGGAAUUUUGAAUUAGAGCUUGCUGAAGCAUUUAUUAUAGAAUUUAUAAAUGUGCCCUGUAAUUGGGAUAAAAACUCUUGACUUAAUUAAUCUGACAGAAGAACAUUUUGAGCAAUGUUGUAAUGUGAUUGUGCAUUGCUGAGAUAAUCUCAUCUUGUUUUGGUAUUCUAACCAAUAAAAAAAAAUUUAAGUGUUGGACUCCCCUUCGGCUUCACAUGGCAAGCCCUAAUUUCUUAAUCCAAACCUAAUCACACACAAAUACACAAUCACGCUGCCUACAAUAGAUUUGGUCAUCUGCUGUGCUGCUUGCCGACAACAAAUUGCUGCUCUUCGUCUUCGUCUUCGUCUUCGUCCUCAUCCCCGAUCUCUAGCUUGCUGGCUAUUCCCAUUUCCUUUUGUUUCGCAACUUAAUGGUUGUUGCCGGUAGCCUGCUACCUUCUUCAACUCCGAGCUAUAGCUAAUGCCUUCUUAAUUUAGAUUUUCUUCAAGUUCGAGUUGCUGCUACUGUAUUCUUUUGUGAGAGGUAAGCUGAUGGGUUCUUUCAUUUGUACACUAGGGUUUGGGGUUCUCUGAUCAGAAUAUAUCGGCUGGUCUGGUGAUUGCUCAACCGCCGUCGAUUUUUGAGGUGCCGCCCAGGUUGAGCCCCGCAAUUCUGCUUGACUCGCUAAAUUUCAGUUUGUUUUCGCCUACACAGGUAAUUCAAUUUAACUUUGUCUGACCUAAAGUUUCUUCAUUUAUUCAUUAGAUUUUAGCUUGUUUAGGAAAGCUUUCAUUUUUAUUGGGUUUCGCAUUUAAAUGCUAAUAAUCCUUGGGUUUGAAUUUUGAUUUUUUUUUUUUUGGAGGGAUGGAAAAUUUUCUUCAUUGCCUUGAUUUGUUAGCAGUCGGUUGGAAUUUUGAAUUAGAGCUUGCUGAAGCAUUUAUUAUAGAAUUUAUAAAUGUGCCCUGUAAUUGGGAUAAAAACUCUUGACUUAAUUAAUCUGACAGAAGAACAUUUUGAGCAAUGUUGUAAUGUGAUUGUGCAUUGCUGAGAUAAUCUCAUCUUGUUUUGGUAUUCUAAGUAUCCAAAUGGACUGGAUAGUAGGCUAUCCAGGUCAAGUUUUAAUGGUAAUUGGGCAUUUUUCUUUCCUGAUUUUAGUUUCAUCUCUUUUUAGAUGAAGCAUAUGGUUAAUGCAAACAAUUAACGAAAGAAAAGCUCUUGGUAUUACUAGUGUUGGAGAUCCAAUUGUCUUCAUGUAAACUGUGAACACUUUUAACUCCCAUAUCUAAGAUAUAGAGAUCUUUAUGUAGCUUUAAGCCAAAUAUGUGAGAAAUUCUCCAAUCUAGUCACAACUUUAUUAGCAACCAAGAAUGAAAGAGUAUUAGCUUCCAGUUAUAAUUUGAUGACCGGAGCUUGAAUGAGUGAGUGAUAACUUGUAUUGUCUAUAUUGCUUUGUAUGUCAUGCCUCACUGGCAUUAUGUUACUUGGGUAUCCAAAUUUUGCGUUUAUCUAUUACUAAUUUCCCUGAUUCAUUGGAUGCAACCUAGGGAGCCUUUAGAAUGAAGCACUAGCAGGCCCUAGCACAGGUCACUGCCCAAGCUGACAAUUGUAGAGAGGGAAAACAGAGACAAAAGGUUGUAAAACACGUUAAAGAGACAAAAGGAUAUAUAUGUAACAAAAAUAUCUAUUAAAAUUAGGUUCAGGGAGUAUUUGGAUGGAUUUUCUUUCUUUUGAUGUAACUGUGACCAAAAAGGGGUUUUAUUUGCAUUGUAAGUGGAGGUGUUAAUAGCAGCACUAUUUUUAUAUUUGACAACAGAAUACACAUUAACACUAUAUAUAGUGGAACCUCGAUAAAUUAAUAACAUUGAUUAAAUAAUAGUUUUCGCCAACUCAGACGUGGGCCCAACUUAGUAAAUUAAUAAUUCAAUAAAUUUAUUAAACAAUAAUUGUUGUAGAAAAGUAAGAAAUCUUAUUUUUCUAUAGGACUCAACUAAACAUAAAUUAAUAAUUAACCAAUUUAGAAUUAAACACAUAUGAUAUGUUUAAGAUUUUCUUUGUUGUACUAGCAUAAUGAUUUAUGCAUUCCAUUGGUUAUUGUUAUUUCUCUACAACUUUUAGAAGAGAAGCCAGUGUUGUAUUCUAUGUGAUAGGUUAAGAGAAACAAGAGAAAAAUUGACUUAAUAUAUUGUCUCAAAAAAGUCUUCUUUGAUGUGUUAUCAUCUAAUUGUGAUGCAACCAUGCAAUCUAGCAAAAGAAUUAUCAAGUCAUUGAUUUACUCAAUUAAAAUCAAACUAGAAUCAUAUUAUACAGCUUGAUAGAAUCUCUAUAUUCUUUAAUUACACUACAACAAAAACAGUGUAUGAUAGCAUCUGAAAAAUGCUACCAAAUUAAAGUGAAUGGUAGCAUUUUGAACAAUGCUAAGUUAGCCGGUGUAACUAAAAGUAUUACACAUUAGUAGCAUUUUUUACAUGCCACAAAUUAUGAUACAUAGCAUUCUGCUGUACCGUACAUCCGCCUUGGCCGUACAGCAGCAUUAAUUGCACUUGGUUUUAUAUUUCUCUUUACUAUGUACUAUGUUGCAAAAUAUUUUGUUUAUACUUAAUCUUUUAUAAUCCAGCAACUCUUAUGAAGACCUAGUCAACUGUCACUGCUACAUAAGCAUUCAGGUUAUACUGCUUUAUCAUCAUUUUUAUUUUCUUCCCUUUUUCUCUUUUACAGCUUGUGAGCUUACUGCUUCAUUAUGUCAAUUGUCGAAUGUGAUUUUCUAUUUUCUCUUGGGUUGUUUAUUCUCAUUUUCCCUUUAGUAUCAAAGCUGAUUAAAUCAAUUAGACACUGAUGAAUUUUAUUAUGAAUUUGAUUAAUUGUAAGUGGGCAAUAUAUUAAUAUGUAUUUUUUGGGCACUCAUUUUAUUGUAACCUAUGUUUCAGGUGAUGUUGGUGGCUUUCGGGAAUUUACUAAGAGUGUUUUUUUUAUGGAUUAAUUGUUUUUCUAGUGAUGUGUUGGUGAUUGGAUAUUGAUAAAGGAUUUAUGAGAUAUUGUAAAGGAUUUGAUUCACCAUAUAUUUUGUGAUGCUAUUUGUUGGAAGUUUCAAGUGAUUGAAAUUUUUAGCGCAUCACACUAUUUGGUAUUUGAUAGUUUUUAUGAAUUUGAAUGUAAUUUUUAUUUCAAUUAAUUCAAGUUUUAAAUGUGGUUUUUGUUGUUUUUA
rnacentral:lncRNA from 1 species